AGUGAACGCUGGCGGCGUGCUUAACACAUGCAAGUCGAACGAGAACGGGAUAUAGCUUGCUAUAUUUGUCAGCUAAGUGGCGCACGGGUGAGUAAUGUAUAGGUAAUAUGCCUCUUACUAAGGGAUAACAAUUGGAAACGAUUGCUAAUACCUUAUAUGCCUUUAAGACUAAAGUCUGCAAGGGAAAGAUUUAUUGGUAAGAGAUUAGCCUGUAUUGUAUCAGCUAGUUGGUGAGGUAAUGGCUCACCAAGGCUAUGACGCAUAACUGGUUUGAGAGGAUGAUCAGUCACACUGGAACUGAGACACGGUCCAGACUCCUACGGGAGGCAGCAGUGGGGAAUAUUGCACAAUGGACGAAAGUCUGAUGCAGCAACGCCGCGUGGAGGAUGACACAUUUCGGUGCGUAAACUCCUUUUAUAUAGGAAGAUAAUGACGGUACUAUAUGAAUAAGCACCGGCU
rnacentral:rRNA from 1 species